CAGGAUAAGGCUUCCUGGUCACCAAAUGUCAACAGGGCAACAAUGCAGCUGAACAGGAAAUGCGAAAGGUCAGGUUACGCAUGGCAGUGGGUUCCAGGUGCUCAUAAAACCAUCGUUCCCCAGGAGUGAACACACACUGUCUCCACAAGAUGAAGGUCUUCCAGAGCAUGCUCCUUGGGGUGCUCUUGGCUCUGUCCCUCACAGGUGCUCAGGAGGUUAAACAGCCCCCUGCAAAAG